GAGUUUGAUCCUGGCUCAGAUUGAACGCUGGCGGCAUGCCUUACACAUGCAAGUCGAACGGCAGCAUGAUCUAGCUUGCUAGAUUGAUGGCGAGUGGCGAACGGGUGAGUAAUACAUCGGAACGUGCCCUGUAGUGGGGGAUAACUAGUCGAAAGAUUAGCUAAUACCGCAUACGACCUGAGGGUGAAAGUGGGGGACCGCAAGGCCUCAUGCUAUAGGAGCGGCCGAUGUCUGAUUAGCUAGUUGGUGGGGUAAAGGCCCACCAAGGCGACGAUCAGUAGCUGGUCUGAGAGGACGAUCAGCCACACUGGGACUGAGACACGGCCCAGACUCCUACGGGAGGCAGCAGUGGGGAAUUUUGGACAAUGGGCGAAAGCCUGGUCCAGCAAUGCCGCGUGUGUGAAGAAGGCCUCGG
rnacentral:rRNA from 1 species